GAUGUACGCUGGCGGCGUGCCUAACACAUGCAAGUCGAACGGAGUCCAGCCUUUAAGACCUUCGGGUCAAAGAGGGGAAGACUGAGUGGCGGACGGGUGAGUAACACGUGGGCAACCUGGCUCAUAGAGGGGGAUAACAGAGAGAAAUUUCUGCUAAUACCGCAUAAGCACACACUGCCGCAUGGCAGAGGGUGAAAAGAGAAUCGCUAUGAGAUGGACCCGCGUCUGAUUAGCCAGUUGGCAGGGUAAGAGCCUACCAAAGCGACGAUCAGUAGCCGAUCUGAGAGGAUGAACGGCCACAUUGGGGCUGAGACACGGCCCCAACUCCUACGGGAGGCAGCAGUGGGGGAUAUUGCACAAUGGGGGGAACCCUGAUGCAGCGACGCCGCGUGAGUGAAGAAGUAUUUCGGUAUGUAAAGCUCUAUCAGCAGGGAAGAUAAUGACAGUACCUGAAUAAGAAGCCCCGGCUAACUACGUG
rnacentral:rRNA from 1 species